rnacentral:rRNA from 1 species
GAUUAUGGCUCAGGAUGAACGCUAGCUACAGGCUUAACACAUGCAAGUCGAGGGGCAGCAUGAGAUUAGCUUGCUAAUCUUGAUGGCGACCGGCGCACGGGUGAGUAACGCGUAUCCAACCUUCCCCUUAGUAGGGCAUAGCCCGGCGAAAGUCGGAUUAAUACCCUAUGUUCUUCGUAGAGGACAUCUGAAAUGAAGCAAAGAUUUAUCGCUAAGGGAUGGGGAUGCGUCUGAUUAGGUAGUCGGCGGGGUAACGGCCCACCGAGCCUGCGAUCAGUAGGGGUUCUGAGAGGAAGGUCCCCCACAUUGGAACUGAGACACGGUCCAAACUCCUACGGGAGGCAGCAGUGAGGAAUAUUGGUCAAUGGGCGCGAGCCUGAACCAGCCAAGUAGCGUGCAGGAUGACGGCCCUAUGGGUUGUAAACUGCUUUUAUGCGGGGAUAAAGUGCACCACGUGUGGUGUUUUGUAGGUACCGCAUGAAUAAGGACCGGCUAAUUCCGUGCCAGCCGCGGC